UAAUACGGGGGGGGCUAGCGUUGUUCGGAAUCACUGGGCGUAAAGGGUUCGUAGGCGGCCAAGCAAGUCCUGGGUGAAAGCCCCCGGCUCAACCGGGGAAUUGCCCCGGAAACUGCGUGGCUCGAGUUCGGUAGAGGGAGAUGGAAUUCCGGGUGUAGCGGUGAAAUGCGUAGAUAUCCGGAGGAACACCAGUGGCGAAGGCGAUCUCCUGGGCCGAUACUGACGCUGAGGAACGAAAGCUAGGGGAGCAAACAGGAUUAGAUACCCUGGUAGUCCUAGCCCUAAACGAUGGGCACUUGGUGUGCCGACCCAUGAGGUUGGCGUGCCGACGCUAACGCAUUAAGUGCCCCGCCUGGGGAGUACGGUCGCAAGGCUG
rnacentral:rRNA from 1 species